rnacentral:misc_RNA from 1 species
UCCGGGCAAAACAAUGCCGCCGCUACAGGCAACCGUCGAAUAAAGACGAAUUUGAAAUUUCCGACUCUGUCCCGACCAGUAUAAAUAUACAGACGCAAUCACGUGCGAUACAGUAUCGAACAGUUCAUAUCGAGUAUCAACGAGUAUUAACUACGCGACGAACAAUAACGAGUAUUUAUUCCGAGUUUUAUAUUGUAUCAACGACUCACUUUGUCAGACGGAAUUCCCGAUGCCAUACGUACUCCGACGGAUACUAUACCAGCAUUUUCUUAGCAGAAGGGUUGCUAAAGAUAAAAUGUCAUCUUACUGACGCAAUACAUGUUAAUGAAAAAGGCGCACCUAUACAAACAGGAAAACAGAAAUCCUUAACAAAAGAAAAAACAAAGAACAGUUGCAUACAACAAGAACAGCAUUGCGCUCCUUACGUGAAAAGAUAAGAGAAUCGUCACAAUGCUUAGCAACUAUAAUCAUACAAGAAUACAAUCUACCCUCAGCAUAUUACGCGGUGGUGAUGUUAUAUCAAUCGAUAAACCUGAAAUAGUUUUACGGUGUCGAUCGUGCGGAUUAAUUCGGUGUAUUGCUUUAUGUGGAAAUCAUUGAAAUAGCGAAGAAAAUUAUUUUCUGGGGGACUGGAAAUGUGCAUUAUCAAUUCUUACAUGAAUUACCAAACCUUAGAAGAAAGAAAGAGUAAAAAACCAAUAACACAUUAAAGGUUUGUCAAAAGUCUCAUAAAUCAGUUGAGAGGUGAUUUUCAUGAAUCAAGAACACGUCCAUCCACAUCUUGGUCGAACAAUAGACUGAACAAUAAACAACAUAUAUGCUAUGUGACAGGAAGAAAACGGGACUGUAUUGCUUGUUCUUAUAGAAAAACACCAAGUGGAAGACGACGAAUUGCUUCAAAAUUGAUCAUGCUGCGGAAAAUAAUGAGAAAUAAAAUUUUGAUUUAUUAGCAAAAAAUAUGUUCCUCACUGUCUAUAAAUUCAUAUAGAUCAAAUACCAUUAGAAUCCAUUAUUUGGUUCCAAAGCUAUGUACUAUAUAAUAUGUGGCGACACUCGACCUUGGAAAUUUCCAACGGUUUCGCGGCACGAGGCGCUUUAUCUUAAAAGCGCUAUGCCGACGAGCCUUAGGUGUCAUCGAUAUCCCUACGGCUCCUUCGCCGAACUUUCGGGAGACCGCACACGUGGCAGUCGUCACGGACUUCUAAACAAACGCGCGCGAUAUCGAUGGCUAACAAAGAAAUGAAUCAGCGUGGCUUUUGAAUCAAAGAGAUUGAGUCUGCCCCGAGCUGCGAAGUGCGAAGGAUUACGUGAUACGAGCGCUCUACUUCCUAUAACCUGCGUUAAGCGCUGAUCGUUACCAAGCGUGCUAACUGUUAAUUGUUAAUUGUUACUUGUGCUAAUUGUUAUUUGUUGCUUGUUGUUAUUGGACGUCAGUU